CCUACGGGCGGCAGCAGUGGGGAAUAUUGCACAAUGGGGGAAACCCUGAUGCAGCGACGCCGCGUGAGUGAAGAAGUAAUUCGUUAUGUAAAGCUCUAUCAGCAGGGAAGAAAAUGACGGUACCUGAGUAAGUAGCCCCUGCGAACUACGUGCCAGCAGCCGCGGUAAAACGUAGGGCGCAAGCGUUAUCCGGAUUUAAUGGGUGGAAAGGGAGCGUAGACGGCUGUGCAAGUCUGGAGUGAAAGGUGGGGGGUGAACCCCCGGAGUGCUCUGGAAACUGUACGGCUGGAGUGCGGGAGAGGUAAGUGGAAUGCCUAGUGGAGCGGUGAAAUGCGUAGAUAUUAGGAAGAACACCAGUGGCGAAGGCGGCUUACUGGACUGUAACUGACGUUGAGGCUCGAAAGCGUGGGGAGCAAACAGGAUUAGAUACCCGGGUAGUC
rnacentral:rRNA from 1 species